rnacentral:rRNA from 1 species
GGAAAGAUGUGGCAUUUACUCAAAUUGCCCUCGUUCUUGCUGGAGUAUGUGCUAUCCGCCCACAGCCCAUGCGUUCGUCUCUUCCGUCCUUUCGUCCUACCCCUAUAUUGCCCGAAGCCGCCGAAUCUCGCCGCCGGCGCUCCCCAGUCGCCACUGCGCCACUCCCUCCCUCCCUACGUUCCUCCAGACUGCUCCGUGCUGUCUCACGCGCCUCCCUGUAUUCUCAUCUCCAGGCGCCACCGUCUCGAUCGACCGUCGGCGCCGCCGUCUCGAUCCACCGCCGGCGCCACCUCUCGAUCGACAGCCGGCGCCACCUCUAGAUCUACCGUCAGCGCCACCGUCUCGAUCGACCGCCUGCGCCACCUCUCGAUCGACCGCCGGCGCCAUCGUGUUCUACUGCCUCGACCGACUGCCGAUCUCAAAGAUCAAGUUUUUCCCACGGCCAGACGGAACCUCCUCUUCCUGAUACCACGCACGGGGAGGGGAGGAUGCGCACCCGAGUGAUUGGUAAUUGCGGAUCCCAAGGAUGGAGUGAUUUAUUGGUUCUCUAGGCUCCGACCUAUAUUUUCUUUCUCAAAGUUGUUUCUAACAACUCAGAUGAGAUAGCUUGUUGGCUAGUAGCUUGGGGUUUCCCCAUAGUUGCUUUCAAGAGGGUUUCCAUUUAUCACAGGAACCAACAAGUAAAGAGGAAUGCAUCUUGCCCAAAGCAGCGGCUAAUUCUUACUGGCGCAUGUAUGCAGGCAUAAGUACAAGCUAGAAACAAUGCAGCGAUCCAUAAAUGUUGAGUCUGAACCUGUGUUGUUAACUGACUUGCUGAGGUAUGAUCAAUGCAUAGGUUAAGUUGGGUAAUGCCGAGUUACAUGUGACUUUUCCUCACCUGCCCCUUAAUGACAAUUAGCUUAAAAGGAGCCUAGCGUAUGCACUGCUUUUUUAGAGAAAAGAAUAUCAGCUUCCCACUAGGAAUUUUACAAGCAUUUAGCCGCUCACAUGUUAUUUGUUUUAUACACAAGAGUGUUUGUCUAAGUUCCCCAGACAUGUAUCUGACCCUUUGCUGUCCCGGUAAUUAUCUCCAUAGAUUCCUGUUCAUAAAAAAUGCUUUCAACAUCUGCUAAGGCUUCAGCUAUUGAGCUUCUGAUGGGCUUCUGUUGCGGAAGACCUACUGCCCUAACUGCAUUUGUAUCUUCUGAAAUUUCUGUAAUAGUUGCUGCAUUUGCUAGGUUUAUAAUCUUCAUUCUGCCAAUCUUUUCACCUGCAAUGAAUAAUACCCCUAUUAAGUCAGGCGAAACGAUUUUUUUUCGAGAAAUCAGGUGAAACAAUUGGAAGAAUGAAGAUCAUAAAACUUGUGUCAACCGCAGCUAAUGAAUGAAAUAAUACCUGUUCUUGUGUCAUGCGAUGUCAAAUGGGAUAUUAGUACAUGGGAUGCUUCGUCGAUUGUAUAACAGUGUAACGUCCAUGAAGGGGGGCACCUGAUUCGCCUCAGCAGUUCUCCCUUAUCAUCAAACAUGGAAACCUGAUCUUUAUAUCUCACCAAUAAUAGUAGCUCAUCUUCAGUCUGUAAGAUGUGUAUCCCAUGUGGAUCACUGGUACAAACUGAUUUAGCCACAGAAGGCUCUUCUUCGAGCUGGAUCAUAAUUCAGGAGGAUCAAACACUUGUAAAUUGAGAUCAAGAUUUCAUAAUAAUAAAAUCUAGUUACUUGUAUGUAAUAAACCUACAUCUGUCAUUCUGACUCGCAUAUUUUCCUGUUGAAGCACCACUUUAGUUGAAAUAGAUUGUAUGAAUUUAACUUCACUGAAAUUCUUGAGAGGAACAUAACACAUUUCUGUCAGGUCUCCGGUUUGGAGAGAGUAUGUUUGGAUAGGAAAGAAGCCCUUCGGGUCAGGUCUGUGACUUGUCACUAAGUUGUCAGUAUGCAACAGAGAAAACAAAUGCUGCCUUUUGAAGCCUAGACUAAUACCUCAGAUUGUAGCACUCCAUACCCGGCAUUGUGAUCUGACGAAGUAAACUGCCGUUCCUUGUGCUAAAAAUUCUCAUAACGCUGAUGGGAAAAAUGUUUGUUUAUUUUAUUAGAUUAGACCACAAUAAAUAAAUAAAAUACAAACAAAUAUUAGAAAGUGUUCAAUUUGUGUGUACCUAGUUUUUUUAGAGAAGACCACCGCCUUUUCAGCACCGGCAGAUAAUUUCACAUGUUCCGGGUUCGUAAUUUCAGAUUCAGAAAACAUUCUUAUCUGUUGGGGCACGCGGACCGCCGUCCUUAUAGACCUAGAAAUGAAACCAGGUAGGAUCAAAAUGCACAAUUCUUUUGUUUCAAGUUAUGUAGCUGAUAGAAUGCUAAAUAUUUGUUAGAAUGCUAAAUAUUCUAUUAUAAGAAAGGAGGCAUAACAAUGUCAUAUAUAUGCACAGGAGCAGUUUUAUGUGGUAGCCUUCCAAUAUGCAACCAUUCUGUCCUCCAAUCCUGUUUUAUGUUAUGUUCUUUUUAAAGCACCAUAUAUAUCUGUUAAACUGCAGCCUCGUAACUAGGUUUGGUUCUGAAAUAUCAUAUUGAUAUCGAUUUCUACUGAAUAUCCCCUUCUCCACAGGUGACUUGGGCCGUCUUGCCAGCGAGGCCCCACCGUUCCUCUACUUGCUGCAGCUGCCCACGACCCUCCUCUCUACUUGCUCCACCUGUGAUUAGUUGAACCUUUUUGUCGUUGUCAUUAACAGCUGCUACUGUAACAAUGUUUCGACACCAUUGUUGUGCUGGUCCUUCUAUUCAACAGUAUAACAACAGUAUUGUUUUGAACUUGUAAGUUUUGUGAUGUUGUUUAGUUCUGCAGAAAUACAACAACACAGCAGUACUUAAGAGUAA